CCAAGGAGCACUUGAUUGCAGAAACCUGGGAGAGGCUAGAGGCAACCAUCUGAAACCUGAAGCCAGUGAAACACAUCCCUUAGAGAGAGAGACAUAGUGUUGAGGAAUGGAGACCCUCCUUGUCCUCUAACAAAACUAGGAUGUGGAGAGCUGAGUGGUGCUCAUGGACCACCCACACAGCUCCAGGAAGGAGGAAUGGUUCACUUCAUGAAACAAACCUGUCCAGUCAUGCUACAAUCACAGAGUGGGAUUCAAACCCGAGCGAGCCAACGGCGACUCCAUCUUGUGUUGGAUUGCCGUGACGGAAGAGACUGCGCAUCAGCCCCUUGCCAGCUGAUGGGCUAAGGAGGUGAGCAGAGCACCCUGGGAAGUCGCCUGCUUUGGGUGUGUAUGGGGGUGAUGACCACAGCUUUUGCUAUGGGC